rnacentral:rRNA from 1 species
GACGAACGCUGGCGGCGUGCCUAAUACAUGCAAGUCGAACGCUGAAGGAGGAGCUUGCUUCUCUGGAUGAGUUGCGAACGGGUGAGUAACGCGUAGGUAACCUGCCUGGUAGCGGGGGAUAACUAUUGGAAACGAUAGCUAAUACCGCAUAACAGUAGAUAUCGCAUGAUAUCUACUUGAAAGGUGCAAUUGCAUCACUACCAGAUGGACCUGCGUUGUAUUAGCUAGUUGGUGAGGUAACGGCUCACCAAGGCGACGAUACAUAGCCGACCUGAGAGGGGGAUCGGCCACCCUGGGACUGAGACACGGCCCAGACUCCUACGGGAGGCAGCAGUAGGGAAUCUUCGGCAAUGGACGGAAGGCUGACCGAGCAACGCCGCGUGAGUGAAGAAGGUUUUCGGAUCGUAAAGCUCUGUUGUAAGAGAAGAACGAGUGUGAGAGUGGAAAGUUCACACUGUGACGGUAUCUUACCAGAAAGGGACGGCUAACUACGUG